UACAGAGGUCUCAAGCGUUGUUCGGAUUCAUUGGGCGUAAAGGGUGCGUAGGUGGCGCCAUAAGUCGGGUGUGAAAUUUCGGAGCUUAACUCCGAAACUGCAUUCGAUACUGUGGUGCUUGAGGACUGGAGAGGAGACUGGAAUUCAUGGUGUAGCAGUGAAAUGCGUAGAGAUCAUGAGGAAGACCAGUGGCGAAGGCGGGUCUCUGGACAGUUCCUGACACUGAGACACGAAGGCCAGGGGAGCAAACGGG
rnacentral:rRNA from 1 species